rnacentral:misc_RNA from 1 species
GAUGAAGAACGUAGCGAAAUGCGAUAAGUAGUGUGAAUUGCAGAAUUCAGUGAAUCAUCGAAUCUUUGAACGCACAUUGCGCCCCUUGGUAUUCCAUGGGGCAUGCCUGUUCGAGCGUCAUUUGUACCUUCAAGCUUUGCUUGGUGUUGGGUGUUUGUCUCGCCUUUGCGUGUAGACUCGCCUUAAAAUAAUUGGCAGCCGGCGUAUUGAUUUCGGAGCGCAGUACAUCUCGCGCUUUGCACUCAUAACGACAGCGUCCAAAAGUACAUUUUACACUCUUGACCUCGGAUCAGGUAGGGAUACCCGCUGAACUUAAGCAAAUCAAUAAGCGGAGGA